GGGAAACUUUAUUUCUGAUGCCAGUCAUGGCGAAAUUAAAAUAAAAAACCCGAUAUGCAGGGCAUCGGGCUCAUUU
rnacentral:sRNA from 1 species